AAGUAGAACGCUGAAGGAGGAGCUUGCUCUUUCCGGAUGAGUUGCGAACGGGUGAGUAACGCGUAGGUAACCUGCCUGGUAGCGGGGGAUAACUAUUGGAAACGAUAGCUAAUACCGCAUAACAGUAGAUAUCGCAUGAUAGCUGCUUGAAAGGUGCAACUGCACCACUACCAGAUGGACCUGCGUUGUAUUAGCUAGUUGGUGAGGUAACGGCUCACCAAGGCAACGAUACAUAGCCGACCUGAGAGGGUGAUCGGCCACACUGGGACUGAGACACGGCCCAGACUCCUACGGGAGGCAGCAGUAGGGAAUCUUCGGCAAUGGACGGAAGUCUGACCGAGCAACGCCGCGUGAGUGAAGAAGGUUUUCGGAUCGUAAAGCUCUGUUGUAAGAGAAGAACGAGUGUGAGAGUGGAAAGUUCACACUGUGACGGUAUCUUACCAGAAAGGGACGGCUAACUACGUGCCAGCAGCCGCGGUAAUACGUAGGUCCCGAGCGUUGUCCGGAUUUAUUGGGCGUAAAGCGAGCGCAGGCGGUUAGAUAAGUCUGAAGUUAAAGGCUGUGGCUUAACCAUAGUACGCUUUGGAAACUGUUUAACUUGAGUGCAAGAGGGGAGAGUGGAAUUCCAUGUGUAGCGGUGAAAUGCGUAGAUAUAUGGAGGAACACCGGUGGCGAAAGCGGCUCUCUGGCUUGUAACUGACGCUGAGGCUCG
rnacentral:rRNA from 1 species